rnacentral:rRNA from 1 species
UGAGGACCUGAUCCUGGCUGGACCCUCCUUAUACUUGGAUUCCCGGGUCGGCUGAAAACAAGAGUGGCAAUCGGGUGAGUGGCACCUGCCUUACCUGCCCAUCCAACGGUGAUAACACUUGGAAACUAGUGCUAAUACCGUAUAACAAUCAAAACCGCAUGGUUUUGAUUUGUUGCGCGCUUUCAGGUGUCUCUGAUGGAUGGACCCCCGGUGGAUUAGCUAAUUGGUGAGGUAACGGCUCACCCAUGCCCCAAUGCAUAGCCUACCUGACAGGGUGAUCGGCCACAUUGGGACUGAAACACGGCCGAAACUCCUACUGGAGGCACCUCUACGGAGUCUUCAGCAAUGAACGAACGUCUGACCGAGCAUCAACACGGGAGUGAAAAAGGUUUUCUGAUCUGAAAAAUCUGUUGUUAGAUAAGAACGAAGAUGACAGUAACUGUUCAUCCCUUGACGGAAUCUAACCGCAAAGCCACGGCUAACUACCUGCCAGCAACCUCGGUAAUACGUAUGUGCCAAGUGUUGUGCGGAUAUAUUGGGCGUAAAUCGAUCGCAAGCUGUUUCUUAAAUCUGAUGGGAAAGCCCCCGGCUCACCCUGGGAGCUGUCAUUGCAAACUGGCAGACUUGAAUGCUGGAAGAUGCAGAGUGUAAUUCCAUGUUGUAGCGGAGAUACUGCAUAGAUAUAUGGAGCAACAGCCAGUUGCUCUAGGGCUGCUACUCUAGGUCUGAAGCUGACACUCAUGCUCGAAAAGACUUGCGUAGCAUACACGAGUAGAUCACCCUGGUAAUCCACGACGGAUACGAUGAGUGACUGAAUGAUUGCAUGCGUUAUCCGUCCCUCAUGCAUGCAGCUAAUCCGCACUAGGCAGUCCGACUGCGGAGUACGAACUCAGUAAUAACCAGGGCACUGACAGGGGCCGACAAGUCGGUGACCUGAGCUACUCGACUACGAGAACUUAACGUUGAACUCUUGAACACUGCUUC